AAUAAGAAAUAAUAAAGAACAUAAUAAAAUAAUAAUAGGAUAGAUCAGAAUUAAUUUCAUACAUUUUUUUUAUUUUGUAUUAACAUUUGAAUUCAUUUUGGAUAUUUGUUGUUUAUGCUUUUUCAAUUUUUUAUCAUCAUUAUUAAAAAUGAACUUUGAAUAAGUCUUUUAUCAGUUACUUGUUGAUGGUAAAUCUUUUCCAGUAUCUUCUUAAAAAUAGCUUGUAAGUUCUCUGAGGAAUAAUAUUUUAAAUGAGAUUUACAUAUUUUCAAAUAAAAAAUUCUAACUUUCUAUUUAAUUAAACAAUAGAAUUGUUUAUGUUGGAGUCAUUAUACAGUUGAAGUAAAAAAGCUUUAAUAAUGAAACUAAAUAAUACUAAUUAUACUAGUGCUACUAGCAAAGAAUUCACAAAGAAAUGAAACUAGAAAAUGAAACCUUGUAUCUGUCUGAGAUACCCCCCUCCCAGCAGCAUUUGACAAUGAAGUAACUUCUAACAUAUCCCUGAUUUUACUUCAUUUUGGAUUUGACCCUAUCUUCAAAACAUUUCCACAAUAUCACACUAGAUAAUGGUUUUGUAAAUAUAUCACCAAUAUUCUCAUUAGAAAGAAUAUAAUUUAUAAUUUAAUAAUGUGAGGACCAUGGGAUGUCUGUUUUGUCAGAAUGGCCUUAAAAUUUGGCCACGCGUGGAUACAUGAUGCUGAGGACUGGGAUCAGAAAUUGACUCACAAACUUAUUUAAAUGAUAACUAAUGUUUAUUUAACAGAAGAAUAUAACAAAAAAAGUUAUUUAAAACUAAAUCUAAUAUGAUACAUUGUAGAGAGAGUGUGUGAGAGUUCCACAAGCCUUUCACAUACUUGAGAGAGAGUUUUCCAAUACUAAAUCUAUUUGACAAUUAUUUGUACACUAACAUUAAAUGUCCCUCUUGUUCACAAAUGUCCUUUGUAAAGUUCAACAUAUUCAUUGCUAAUGUUCACCAUCAUCAUCGUCUGUUCUAUUUGUCAGCUUUGCUGUCAUCAUCCAUCAUCUCUGUUAUUGUCUGUCGUCUCUGUUGGGCUUGCUGCCCCGACGGGAUGAGUUGUUUGCGCAUCGUUGCAUAUUUUCGUUAUUUUUCUUGGACACUAGCACUUCUUCUUCUUUGACUGCUGACUACCCUCUCUUGACUCUGCUGGCUGACUAAUCUUCUCGUAUUUACUUGAUGUCUUCAAAAGGAACUUUCCCGUGGUAUUUCUAGAUGGAAUUAACUUGUAGUUCCUUGUCAGUUAUGAUGACUAAUUAUUAUCUACUUUUUAAUCUUUAAUAUAUUAAUCUAUGUAAUUUAUUA
rnacentral:lncRNA from 1 species